AUCCUUUUGUAGUUCAUAAGCAUGAUUGGGUGUUCACAUGCAUGUGUGAGACGUGCCUCCCUCAAACCUUGUUAUGAUGUUGGCACACAUCACCUGUCUGACA